GACGAACGCUGGCGGCGUGCUUAACACAUGCAAGUCGAACGGAAAGGCCCUGCUUUUGUGGGGUGCUCGAGUGGCAAACGGGCGAGUAACACGUGAGUAACCUGCCCUUGACUUUGGGAUAACUUCAGGAAACUGGGGCUAAUACCGGAUAGGAGCUCCUGCUCCAUGGUGGGUGUUGGAAAGUUUCGGCGGUUGGGGAUGGACUCGCGGCUUAUCAGCUUGUUGGUGGGGUAGUGGCUUACCAAGGCUUGGACGGGUAGCCGGCCUGAGAGGGUGACCGGCCACAUUGGGACUGAGAUACGGCCCAGAGUCGUACGGGAGGCAGGAGUGGGGAAUAUUGCACAAUGGGCGGAAGCCUGAUGCAGCAACGCCGCGUGCGGGAUGGCGGCCUUCGGGUUGUAAACCGCUUUCGCCUGUGACGAAGCGUGAGUGACGGUAAUGGGUAAAGAAGCACCGGCUAACUACGUG
rnacentral:rRNA from 1 species